UAUAUAAGUUAUCGUUUAUUUGAUAGUACCUUACUACUUGGAUAACCGUGGUAAUUCUAGAGCUAAUACAUGCUAAAAAUCCCGACUUCGGAAGGGAUGUAUUUAUUAGAUUAAAAACCAAUGCCCUCUGGGCUCUCUGGUGAUUCAUGAUAACUUCUCGAAUCGCAUGGCCUUGCGCCGGCGAUGGUUCAUUCAAAUUUCUUCCCUAUCAACUUUCGAUGUUUGGGUAGUGGCCAAACAUGGUUGCAACGGGUAACGGAGGGUUAGGGCUCGACCCCGGAGAAGGAGCCUGAGAAACGGCUACUACAUCCAAGGAAGGCAGCAGGCGCGCAAAUUACCCAAUCCCGACACGGGGAGGUAGUGACAAUAAAUACUGAUACAGGGCUCUUUUGGGUCUUGUAAUUGGAAUGAGUACAAUUUAAAUCCCUUAACGAGGAACAAUUGGAGGGCAAGUCUGGUGCCAGCAGCCGCGGUAAUUCCAGCUCCAAUAGCGUAUAUUAAAGUUGUUGUGGUUAAAAAGCUCGUAGUUGAACCUUGGGCCUGGCUGGCCGGUCCGCCUCACCGCGUGUACUGGUCCGGCCGGGCCUUUCCCUCUGUGGAACCCCAUGCCCUUCACUGGGUGUGGCGGGGAAACAGGACUUUUACUUUGAAAAAAUUAGAGUGCUCCAGGCAGGCCUAUGCUCGAAUACAUUAGCAUGGAAUAAUGAAAUAGGACGUGCGGUUCUAUUUUGUUGGUUUCUAG
rnacentral:rRNA from 1 species